UCGGGAAUAUUGCGGCAAUGGAGGAAACUCUGACGCAGUGACGCCGCGUGCAGGAAGAAGGUUUUCGGAUUGUAAACUGCUUUAGACAGGGAAGAAUAAAGACAGUACCUGUAGAAUAAGCUCCGGCUAACUACGUGCCAGCAGCCGCGGUAAUACGUAGGGAGCAAGCGUUAUCCGGAUUUAUUGGGUUUAAAGGGUGCGCAGGCGGCGCGAAAAGUCAGCGGUCAAAGUUCCGGGCUCAACCCGGUGACGCCGUUGAAACUUUCGUGCUGGAGUUCGUGCGAGGGAGGCGGAAUGCGUUGUGUAGCGGUGAAAUGCAUAGAUAUGACGCAGAACCCCGAUUGCGAAGGCAGCUUUCCAGCACGCGACUGACGCUGAGGCACGAAAGCGUGGGGAGCGAACAGGGAUUAGAUACCCUGGGUAGU
rnacentral:rRNA from 1 species